rnacentral:rRNA from 1 species
AGAGUUUGAUCCUGGCUCAGAACGAACGUUGGCGGCGUGGAUUAGGCAUGCAAGUCGAACGAAUCCCAGCGGCGUAGCAAUACGUUGCUGGGGGAAGUGGCGAAAGGGGCAGUAAGGCGUGGGUAACCUACCCCGGGGACGUGGAUAGCCAUUCUAACGAGUGGGUAAUACGCGGCGAUUCGGCGAGGGGGCAUCUCUUUGCCGGGAAAUGAAUUUCGCCUCGGGAGGGGCUCACGUGAUAUUAGCUGGUUGGCGGGGUAACGGCCCACCAAGGCUGAGAUGUCUAGCGGGUGUGAGAGCACGACCCGCGCCAUUGGCACUGAGACACUGGCCAGACACCUACGGGUGGCUGCAGUCGAGGAUCUUCGGCAAUGGGCGCAAGCCUGACCGAGCGACGCCGCGUGUGCGAUGAAGGCCUUCGGGUUGUAAAGCACUGUCGAGGGGGAUAAAGCCCCACAAGGGUUGAUUGAUCCCUGGAGGAAGCACGGGCUAAGUUCGUGCCAGCAGCCGCGGUAAGACGAACCGUGCGAACGUUGUUCGGAAUCACUGGGCUUAAAGGGCGCGUAGGCGGCCGCUCAAGUCCGGGGUGAAAGCCUCCAGCUCAACUGGAGAAGUGCCUUGGAUACUGAGGGGCUCGAGGGAGGUAGGGGCCCGCGGAACUUCUGGUGGAGCGGUGAAAUGCGUUGAUAUCAGAAGGAACGCCGGUGGCGAAAGCGGCGGGCUGGAUCUCUACUGACGCUGAGGCGCGAAAGCCAGGGGAGCAAACGGGAUUAGAUACCCCCGUAGUCC